AGUGAACGCUGGCGGCGUGCCUAAUACAUGCAAGUCGAACGGAGUGGCGCACGGGUGAGUAAUAUAUAGCUAAUCUGCCCCUUGCUGGAGGACAACAGUUAGAAAUGACUGCUAAUACCCCAUAGCAAGGAAGGAGACUAUAUCGUAUCAGCUAGUCGGUGGGGUAACGGCCUACCGUGGCUAUGACGCGUAACUGGUCUGGGAGGAUGAUCAGUCACGUUGGAACUUAGACACGGUCCAAACUCCUACGGGGGGCAGCAGUUGGGAAUAAUGCGCAAUGGGGGAGACCCUGACGCAGCAACGGCGCGUGGAGGUGUAAACUUUUCGGAGCGUAAACUCCUUUUGUUAGGGAAGCGGUAGCUAACGAAUAAGCGCCGGCUAACUCCGUGCCAGCCGCCGCGGUAAUUC
rnacentral:rRNA from 1 species